UACAGAGGGUGCAAGCGUUGUUCGGAAUCAUUGGGCGUAAAGGGCGCGUAGGCGGCUCGGCACGUCCGUUGUGAAAUCGCCCGGCUCAACUGGGCGGGGUCGGCGGAUACGGCCGAGCUGGAGCAAGCUAGGGGGUAAUGGAAUUCCCGGUGUAGUGGUGGAAUGCGUAGAUAUCGGGAGGAACACCAGUGGCGAAGGCGGUUACCUGGAGCUUUGCUGACGCUGAUGCGCGAAAGCGUGGGGAGCGAACAGG
rnacentral:rRNA from 1 species